GAGCCAGACUCCUACGGGAGGCAGCAGUGAGGAAUAUUGGUCAAUGGGCGCGAGCCUGAACCAGCCAAGUAGCGUGAAGGAUGACUGCCCUACGGGUUGUAAACUUCUUUUAUAAAGGAAUAAAGUGAGGCACGUGUGCCUUUUUGUAUGUACUUUAUGAAUAAGGAUCGGCUAACUCCGUGCCAGCAGCCGCGGUAAUACGGAGGAUCCGAGCGUUAUCCGGAUUUAUUAGGUUUAAAGGGAGCGUAGAUGGGUUGUUAAGUCAGUUGUGAAAGUUUGCGGCUCAACCGUAAAAUUGCAAUUGAUACUGGCAGCCUUGAGUACAGUUGAGGUAGGCGGAAUUCGUGGUGUAGCGGUGAAAUGCGUAGAGAUCGGGAGGAACACCAGUGGCGAAGGCGGCCUACUGGGCUUUAACUGACGCUGAGGCACGAAAGCGUGGGUAGCAAACAGGAUUAGAUACCCUAGUAGC
rnacentral:rRNA from 1 species